GAAUAGAUCUGGUGACUGCUUGCUACGAAGUGUCUACUACUACUGUUUUCCUUUUAAUUUUUAUUUGUGCCCAUGUAAAAGGUAGUAAAUUUACAACCACAGGCUGUGAUAUGUAAAAAACAUCACCUUUUACCUCUUGUUUUUCUUUUUUUUAAAAUGUACUUAUUUUUUCUUAAUUGGUUUCUUUAAAAUUCAUUCCAAUCCACUGGGUGGUGGAAAAUUGUCAUUAUUGUGGUUUCAUCUGCCACUGAUCACACAGGACUCAAGGAUGCUUAUGUAAUGCUCAGGAAAUUGGAUGUGGUUUUGUCCAACUCAACAGAAAUUUCCAAACUCCUGCUUUGAUCACCUUCCUUGAUGCAAGGGGUGGACAAGUCGUUAAGUGAUUGUACUGGCCAAUGAGAGGUUUCACUGGCUGCUUCAUCAGAGCCCAUCAGAGGGAAAUCACAAGCUUUGGAGAGCUGAUUAAAGAAUUACAGAGUGUUAUUGCUCAUUGAAUCCAGCCUCCUCAUCUCACAGAUAGAGAAACCAAGGAAAGGAAGGGAAUGUCUCAUACAUUUCAGCCAAGGGAUAAACUACUGAGACGAAUACGUUUGUACCCCUGGGGAAUCCAGAUGCGCAGUUCCUACAGAGGAUGACUGUACUACUGGGACUAUGUGCGGCCUUGCUUCUAUGCGAAGAGGAAAAGGCUGGAGAACUGUGAUUCUCUGAAUAGCAAAGGAUAACUUCUCAAAGUGAAAGUGAAGUCGCUCAGUCGUGUCCAACUCUUUGCAACCCCAUGGACUGUAGCCUGACAGGCUCCUCCAUCCAUGGGAUUUUCCAGGCAAGAAUACUGGAUUGGGUUGUCAUUUCCUUCUCCAGGAGAUCUUCCCAACCCAGGGAUUGAACCCAGGUCCCCCACGUUGUAGGCAGACGCUUUACCUUCCCUGAGCUACCAGGGAAGUCCUUCAGCAAACUUCUGCUUACACCUUAUUGCCGAGAACUGAAUCACAUGUCCAUUUCCUGAUUGGUUGACUGACAAGAGGGUUGCAUUGCUUAGACUGAUCAGACUUCUCUCUUGCACUAGGAUCAAUAUCUUCCAGGUACAUGGCUAGAUAAGAGAAAAGCAAAAUUGAAGUUCUCUUGGGAAGAAGGGAAAGACAUUUUGAGAAGAAGGGAAGAACUAGAAGAGUAGUUCACUAUACAUGAAAACGCCUAAAAACACUGGUAACAUAUCCUAAUAAUUCCAGUAGUUUUGAUAUUAAACAUUUCUAUCAUUAAAACAGUUUCAUUUUUAGAGGCCUAUCAUGUCAUGUUCUUACUCAUAGAAGAAGGCCUUUAGGAGAUAUUUAAAUGAAAGCAAAGAAAUCAAGUACAGAGAGCUUCUACUUUCUAUAUAUCAAUAAUUUACCACCAAAAGAAAUCUCAAAUUUUACUCAAAAAUAGCAUGCUGUAUUCACUUACCAAAAGACAAUGCACAAUGAUUGACUUCUGUUGGAAAAAAAACAUCAGAAGCGAAAACCACUAGCCAUUGUGUAGAGCUUACUUCUCACUCUCUUUCCCUCCCCCACUCAGAAGUUAGACUUCAGCAUUAUCCUCGUGUGUACUUGCCAACUUUCUGCAUCAUGACACAAAGACAUUGCUGGUUAGGAUCAUUCUAGCCUGAAGAAAGGCAAGCACAAAGCCAGUCAGGCUUAGAUGAAAUGCACACUGUUUGUUAAAUGGCCGUGGUGUUUUUAUGGUUCCCUUCAUGAAAGACUAGCCUAAAGUCAACAGCCCACAGUUGCUCAAAUCUGGGCUUUGGUUUCACUGCCACUACCCGCCACUUCCCCACCCAGGAGAAUUACAAAAUUACAGCUAAGUGGUGUUUUAACUACAUCCUCAGGGGAGUGCUGAGUAAGAAGUAAAGCAUUCUGGGUCACCAAUAAAUCAUUUCUGAAAAAAAGGACAUUUCAGGAAAAUUAAACAAAGCGUAGAAAAGCCUUAGCUUGCAAUCUGUUGUCACAGAGUUUGAACCAUGACUUUCCUCCCUGCUUAGACAAACACCAAGCAGGAAGCCCUGAACAGGAAAAAAAAAAACACAAAACCCAGGACUGUCCAGAGCCAUAGAAGAGAAUAGCUAGUGAUUGUCACUGUGACUUCAUUGCCCAUUUAAACAAAAUGAAGGCAGCUAGUUCUUUAACCCUUUCCAAUUGAAACUCUAUUUUCAGAAGUUCUACAGUGGGUAUGCAACAACUCAAGAAAUCCAAUCAGCCUGGAACAUGGGUUUUCAGAGUUGCUUCAGUUUAACCAGCUUCCCCUAGUGCCCUGGCUACAUUGUGCAUGUAAAUUGCUCCCCUUGGGAUAUUUACCUGUGGUAAGGUUCAUGGGUAAGCAAUGUGCAUAUCUCCUUUAUCAGGAUUUGUAUUUACAUUGUAACGUUUGAAAACCAGACCAUUCUUGUGUGCACUUUGUGAUUUUCUUUCUGGUAAACUUUGCUAGUAUUCUCCUGCCUUAUUUUCCCUCUGCUGUACAAUUCCAAUGCUUACUUGUCUAUUCAUUGCCUCUGUCCUACCAUCCCACAACAAUGUCAGCCCAAAUCUAUUAGCUGAGCUCGCUGUUGGCUGGCUCCAUAGCAACCAGCUGAAAAUAUUAUAGGGCUUUCCCCAUGAGCCCAUACCGAACAAAAGCACAUGACCACUUCUUUCUAUUUUAACAUUUGUCUACCUCAAGAGGACCUGGGCAGAAUUUAGAAAAUAUUUUUCAGCUGGGAACAGAAAUAAUCAAACAAGCCAAAUGUUGGCUUUUAUUCCUUUUAGAUGUCUUCGUCAUCAUUUAGUCGCUAAGUCAUGUCCGACUCUUGCAACCCCAAGGACUGUAGA